rnacentral:lncRNA from 1 species
CGCAAAGGCCUCAGCCACUUUCCGGUUCCGCCCUCCAUAGCAGGUAGUGAUCAGGUCAGCAACACCACAGCUCUCCAAGAAGGUGGCAGAGGACACAGGGCCACUGCAGAAGAGCUUGGCGAAGGCUAUCAUCUCCAUGAGUCCCAGCCGGAUCACUGCCGCCUUGGUGUUGUCGCCAAAGCCCAGGCCAUCACAGAAGCCAGCCCCCACGGCCACUACAUUCUCAGCCUCCCACAGACCACUCCUUUAUUGCACUGGCACUGAGAUGAAGGCUCCAGUGCCAGGCUGCCAGCUGGGAGCACUGAUUACGGGUGAUGGAAGAGAAAGGAUGCUUCUGUCCCUGGCACAAAUGAUGGGAGCCCCAAAGAAUG